rnacentral:rRNA from 1 species
AGGGCACCACCAGGAGUGGAGCCUGCGGCUUAAUUUGACUCAACACGGGAAAACUCACCCGGCCCGGACACUGGAAGGAUUGACAGAUUGAGAGCUCUUUCUUGAUUCAGUGGGUGGUGGUGCAUGGCCGUUCUUAGUUGGUGGAGUGAUUUGUCUGGUUAAUUCCGAUAACGAACGAGACUCUAGCCUACUAAAUAGAUYGUYGGCUUACAAACSCCGACKAGACUUCUUAGAGGGACWGGCGGUGRUUCRACCSCWSGAAACAGAGCAAUAACAGGUCUGUGAUGCCCUUAGAUGUCCGGGGCCGCACGCGCGCUACACUGAAGUGAUCAGCGUGCAUUCUCAGCCUACUCUGUCAAGAGUGGGGAACCCAAUGAACCUUCUUCGUGAUUGGGAUAGGGGAUUGUAAUUAUUCCCCUUGAACGAGGAAUUCCCAGUAAGCGCGAGUCAUAAGCUCGCGUUGAUUACGUCCCUGCCCUUUGUACACACCGCCCGUCGCUACUACCGAUUGAGUGUUUU